CAAUAGCGUAUAUUAAAGUUGUUGCAGUUAAAAAGCUCGUAGUUGAAUUUUUGCUUGCCGCCGAUGUCGGAACUUCCGUACGUUCGGCGGCGUGCAUCCUUGGGUGGAACCUGUGUGGCAUUAGGUUGUCGUGCAGGGGAUGCUCAUCGUUUACUGUUAAAAAAUUAGAGUGUUCAAAGCAGGCUUACGCCGUUGAAUAUAUUAGCAUGGAAUAAUAAGAUAGGACCUUGGUACUAUUUUGUUGGUUUGCGCACCGAGGUAAUGAUUAACAGGGACAGUUGGGGGUAUUCGUAUUCCAUUGUCAGAGGUGAAAUUCUUGGAUUUCUGGAAGACGAACUACUGCGAAAGCAUUUACCAAGGAUGUUUUCAUUAA
rnacentral:rRNA from 1 species